CACGUAGGGGGCAAGCGUUGUCCGGAUUUAUUGGGCGUAAAGGGCUCGCAGGUGGUUCAGCAAGUCAACUGUGAAAGUCCGGGGCUCAACCCCGGGAGGCCAGUCGAAACUGCUGUGACUAGGGUCCGGUAGAGGUGAGUGGAAUUCUCGGUGUAGCGGUGAAAUGCGCAGAUAUCGAGAGGAACACCAGUAGCGAAGGCGGCUCACUGGGCCGGUACCGACACUGAGGAGCGAAAGUGUGGGGAGCGAACAGG
rnacentral:rRNA from 1 species